rnacentral:lncRNA from 7 species
CAGCAGGGUUCAUCUGGCAGCUGCCUGAAGUUAGCAGGAGAUGAGAGAGGUAUAUGAGAAGAAAAUGCUGGAAACUGGGCCAGGGAUCAUUUUAUGACAGGAUUCACCAGAGGGUGCUAUUACACAUAACCUUCAUUUUUCUUGGCUUAGAAGAAUGGAUCCUUUUAAGGGGACGCUGAAAUAUUGCCAGUUUUAAGAUACCAACCCUUUUUCUGAGUGGGAAACUGAAAAACAAAAAACAAAAACAACAAAAAAACACAAACAGCUUUUUCCUCUUCUUCCUCCCGAUUUGAUUUGUUUAUUUGUUUGUUCAGUUGGUGGGGUUCUUUUGCUACAACUGUCCAACAGGAACCAAAUCUUGUUGCAGUUUCCCACCUCACACCCAAAUUCUUAAUGUUUUGGGAAGGGUUCACUGAAUGUCUCUGUUCUGAGACUGAUAUAAAUAGCAAAAUUGUUUUUGCACUCCUACCUGUGUGCGGUGGGUUGGAUUUCUCCUGUGGUAGGAAACAUUUGCAUUUACUAUGGCUACAUAGAGGAAGGAUGCUGUAGUUUCCCAUCACCACCAACACAAAGACCUCUGCAGUUUUGCUUGCACAGAGAGGACUAGAUCUUAGGGACAAGGUACAAAAGCUGUCCUUGCUGCAGCAUGGGGACAAGUGGCAAUUAUGGACUUAGCCCAAAGUAGGACACACCUGUGGUUCUGCCUUCCUUGUGGAGAGAAAGAAGAUGGCAAGGAUGAGGCUGAGGGGCUGCUGUGCUUCUGCAGGUGGUGCAGCCGUGGCAAUUUGACAAGCACAGAGAGAAGCAUGUUGCAAACAACUCUCAGGCUUCCAACAGAGACCUGUUUGUUUUUCCUUGUUUAAUUUGGGAACCAUGCAUCUAAGCACACUUGGUAUGUCUCCAUGUGUAAGCCUAUACUGCAGCCUAUUGAUUUCCUUCACCCUUGGCAAGAAUAUCACAAUGGAUUUUGGCUUUGCCUGUAAUCUCUUGAGCGGAUGAGUCUAGAAAUUCAAAUGAGAGCUUAACUUGCUGACUGUCUGCACUGCCCACAUGAUGGCUGCUCUGCUCCUUUGGCUCUGGUCUGGAGCAAGUUAGCUGUCUGUUUAGGCAAGGAAACUUGGGUACAGGGCAGGCAUGACUGGUUCCCAUCUGUGCACUGGGUCUACAAAAUCUGGUUCCAGGGACUUGGCUCUGCAGACCAGAUCCGGAACAUGAGCACAUCUCCCAAAGGCUGUAUAGGUACAGGCUCUGUUAUUUUUGAUAGAUAUCUGGUUUUAAUCUGGAAGCAAGCCCUUGAAUGCAGCCACCUGGCUCCUUGACAGUACUGUGUGUUGCCUAGCAAUGUGAGGAGAAGAUACUGGAUCCAUUUCUUCCCCUAUCUGUGCCAGAACCAACCAGAGGAAAGAUAAUUUUAUGAUGAGGAAUUAACAUCUUAUUUGUGGAACGGCCUUCUUAUCACCAUAUGGCUUUAGUUGGAACAGUGGUCACCCAUGCAGUAGAAGGUUUGGAGCUUCAGUCUAUGCAUUUUGCAGAGAGUUACUUUUUGGUAAUACAGUUUUGUUUGUAGUGUGGUUGCCUCUAAGCUUUUCAAGUUGGAAGUACUGUCAGUCCUCUUAGAUUUUCCUGCCCUGAAUAAAACUAACAGUAACAAGUGAAAAUGCAGGCAAAUUUGCAUGAAGAUGAGAAAUCUUCUCCAAGUCAGCAGAUACAAAUGCACCUGGAAAUUCCAUUCCAUUAUUAAUAUGCUAAUUCAACAGAUUUUUUCCAAAUUGCAUCAUAGCUUAAGAGUCCACUGAUAUCAGUGCCCUGUGCUGUCAGCAAUGAAAGGCAAGCAGUAAUCCCAACAGUGGUGGAAUGUUUAUUGGUUUAUUUGUGAUUUCAUUUAUUUCUUAGAAGAAUCAAAAUAAUAAUCCCAUCCUACAGAUACAUUUUUAGAUUCUUCUGUUUAAGGAAGCGAUGGUCUUCUUAAGUAAGUAGUGCUAUAUAUUCUGUUCUUCUCUACUUUGAAAUAUUGCCAAAGAAGAGGCUUGAGUUAACACCUUCUUGACUGGAGAAUUUAAAAUGUCUUUGUGCCAUGCCUUUAGCAGAUAAGGAAAGCUUCUCCAGCAAUUACGUGGUGUUUAAAGUCACUGAAUUAAUUGUGAAGUUGUCAGUUUGAUUUAACUGAUUGAAAACUAGAGCUCCAGCAUUCAGUGCAUCGGGGCCUGAAUCACUGGUGCAGGAGAAAGGUGGGAAAGGAGGAUGUUUGCCUCUUUCAUGUACGUCGCCAUAUGUUGCUGUCAGAGUCUGAAAUGAAAUGGCGAUCACAUGCAUCCAGGAAAUGGACCGGAAAGGGUGCUGUCAGUGAGAUUCAUUAAAUUCUCAUUCUCUUAUGUGCUAUGACCUUUCCAGUGUUUUUAGGGUGUUAAGAAACUAUAUUCCUGAAGUUGUUAUAGUGCUUAUUUUAACAGUAGUGAACACCUUCAUCUGUAACUUCUCAUGAGUUUGAAAGCUUACGUUUGGUGGUACUUAAUAAGUCUGCACAGACAACAGAAGAGACUUCAGAAGUGUAAAAGUCUUAAUUAGUUCAAUUGAUAACCACAUGGGAUAGAGACAAAUAAACAAAUGCUUUUGGAGAAGAGAGGUGAGGUUUCCAGGCAUUCUCUUUGCAAUGGGUCACUGAUUAAAUUUGCUGCCUCUCAGAACUGUGUUAAUGGAAAGCCAAAGGCUGGUAUCAGAUCCAAUAAAUUCUGUUUCAAGAAAUUGGAAUGAUCAGCUUGGUAAAGCACAAAUCAGGCUUAUCCAGCCCAAUUGCCCUUUGUGAUGAAAGGUCUGACUAUGUGGAUAAGGAGAGAGCACUAGAUGUCAUAUGCCUUGAUUUAUUUAGACUUCAGAUACAAUCUGUCACUGCAUACUUGUUCUGAAGCUGAAGGAGAGUGGCUAGAUGAUUUAGCUGUUGGAGUGGUAAAAAUAUUUGUCUUGAGUGCUGGGUUCAAGGAGUAGCACUCCUUGGCUUGGUGUCCACCAGAGGUGGCAGAUGCCUAAUGUAUUACCACCAGGGUCUGUACUAUGGUAUUACUUUUAUCAAUGACCUGGAUAAUAACAGCAAUUAAAUCCCUAUCAAAUUUGCAGGUGUUAUUUAAUUAGAUGGGAUGUUUGAUGUUUCAAAACAUCCAGAACUUUUGGGUAAGAUGGAGAAAUUUGAAGCCUAGACAAACAAGAACUUUACAACAGGAACUCUUUACAACCAAGAGGAGUACUCAUGGAGUACUCAUAGUACCAUACACUGGUACUACCUGGGAAGCAUCUGGCUGAGUAGCAGCCCUCACCAGAAGGACCUAGAGGUUAUGAUGGAUGCUAUGUUAAAGAUGUGCUGACAGUGCACUGUCACAGCAAAUAAGGCAAAUAGCAGCAAUCUUCAUUAGAAAGAAAGUAGCCAAAAGCUUGAAGGGUGCUAGGUGAACGUGCGUAUUUCAGCAGGGUUACAACAGCUUGGUCUUUGCCAUGUUCUUCUCAUCCCACCUUAGAUGCUUUAUUGUUCUGAUGCAAACAGCACUGUGGCUUUGUUCAUGUAAAGACAUGGGGAUAAUAAGAUCAAAGCUAUCUUGGGUACCGUUCUGUAGGUUCCAAUUACACCUCUGGUUGAAGUGCAGACAGAUAUUUACAUCUUGAUUUGCUUCUGGAAGUUCCCUCCUCUUCCUCUCCCACUCCCACCCUGCAGCUCAGUGUCUGAAGUCAACCUCAACUAAAUACCAGAAGACACCAGAAAUGUGAGACAGCUGCUCAGAUGCUCAGAGAAGUGACCUGAGAAGAAAGAGCCAGGUGACACAUCCCAGGAAAUGGAUCCUGUCCUAAAAGGAAAAUGCAUUCAUCAUUCAGAUAACUUCUGCCACUGAAAAGCCAUCUGGAUAAACAAGGAAAGAGUUACACAACUGUUGCACAGAUCCCCAUCCCUUCCUGUCCACUUGUAGAAAGGCAGAUGUGUUAAACAAGGCUUCAGCUGUGGGCAGAGAGGAGAAUGGGAGACCGUGGGGGAGGAAGCACAGCCUGGAAUUCCUGAGGCUAGCAGUAAGGAGAGCAAGUGCUGUGUUUCCAUCAUCAGAUCCUUUGUGUCAUACACAAUACUCAUAACUGGAAGUUGGGCAGCAAAGACCUCAGACCAACACAGCUGUGCCACCAGGAGAAAAUGGAAACUGGGAUUCUCAGAUAUCCACCUGCAGAAUCUCAUUUUCUGCAGCUUCUCCACUUCUGAACAAGACAUUGCUAAAGUGUCAUCACAGGAUCCAUCUUCUUCCUACACCUCAACCGCACUACUGCCCAGGUAGCGAGUCUUCACUGCAAGAGGUGGUCAUCAGCUGACCACUCUGCAUUGGCUGUCCUCACUCAGCAGCCCUGUGCUCCCUCAUUCCUCCCAGAUGCCUCUCCUUCUGCUCUCCAGCAGGUGCCAAGGUAUUUUCAGAUCUUUCCCGUGUGCCCCAUGCCUUCCAGAAGGAAGGAGGAAGUCGGAGAUGUCUGAUGACUUUGGGAGGCAAGAGGAGAGUCUGAAAUUCAGUAGAUACCAUUGGAGCACUGUCAUGACUUUCUACAAAGCCAGAAUACAGAAGGAAUAAAUUAUUGCUAAAGAUUCACAGGCUGACAAGAACUGUAUCAGGAAGCGGCUGGAAGACAUUUUCAUUAGUGUUACCAUUUAUAGCUAUAAAUAUUAGGAGAAGCAUUAACCAAAGAAAGCCUAUUGUCACCUGCCUACAAAGGCAAGAGAAAUCUUUGAGGAAGAGCCAUGUUCAGUGCUGUUUUUUCAGUUUGGAGAGGGUCAACACUGAAAUCUGACUGGUAGCCUCAAAAAAUAAUUGAAACCUAUACCCCUCCAAACCAAGAAGAAAUGGAGUACUGCAGAGACCUCACUCCCCCUCAUUCAAGAGGAAAGUCUAUAGGCCAAGCUGGGAAGCCAUAGCAAUCUGUGUGAAUUCACAGACUGAGCUGAAUCCCUCAUAAAUAGUGGAAUAUUGUCUGGGAGAAAGUCCAUUAUGAGAACAGUCUUGGAAGCUAGCUAGAAUAUGGCAAAUCUAUUGAACAGCUGAGAUAACAAGAACACACGCAGGAGAGUUAAGGGCAGAAGGAAAUGGGUGUACAGUGUGUGUCAUAAAUUACAAAAGGAGAGUAAGCAGGGUGUGCAUGGGAGACUGAAUGCUGUGAGCAAAGGUCAGGACCAGACACUGCAAUGAAAAGGUGCAUGUGUGAUGCAGCAGAAGCUGUAACCUAACUCGUCUGUAGGAAAAUUCACAAGGAGAUGGGAAAGGAAAUAUUUUUAUUUACUUUUUUUCCUCUCCUGCCAAAUACUGUGGGUCAUUAGCUGGGACAAGCUGUUGGUAACAGAGCAGGCUCUCAAGAGACCAAGUUCUUACGUCCCAGCUCUGAGGCUGCCAGUUAAAGCUGAGGCAUCUCAGAGAGUCACAUCAUUUACAGAGACCAGCAUUCCCCACAGGACUGGCCUGGGAUGCCUGGCUGCAGUGCCAGAGGCAAGCUGGGGUUGUUUCUCAUCACAGAAGUGAAGGCAGCAGAGUUUAAGGGAAAUGAGAAGGCGAAGGCUGGCCUGUUUGAUUCAAAUAGUCCCUUCUAGCAUAAAGGGAGAUGCUGUAGACAAUCCCAGUUUGUGGCAUGAGCUCUCCUCUGAGUACUUCUAGAGAGGCAUUUAAAUCCCUGCUCUACACUCAUGCUGCAAAAGCCAUGGAUCGGGAUCAGACCCAGGGAUGUUUGUCCUGUUUCAGUAUUGUAAGUGCAGGUUCCUCCCCCAGUGCUCAGGGGAAGGGCUGUGCAGUGACAGAGCUGUAAUUUACACUGCAGUUGAUGAUGUGAGCUUCAGUCUUUAUUUUUACUGUUCAAAUCCUCUGUGUCCUGUGACUUUGUUCCUCAUUCAUAAACGGUGAAAAAUAUCACUUCCUCAUUCUGAAGAAGAAAUAGAGCGAAUAGCUUGAGAUGUGAUGCUGCAUCUUUAGGAGCCACGGAAUACUGCAGCUGUGAAAUAUGGCUGUUCUUGCAUAAAAUAUUUGCAUGCAGUGUUACUUGCAGAGGGAGAAUCAACCUGAAGCAUGAGCUUUACUGCUGAAUUGCAGGGAAGGAAAACUGCACGACAGCCUGAACUCCUGUAUGAUUGCAUCCCAUUCCCCAUCCCCACCACUCAGCUUGACAUAUUUAAAAUCUCUAGAGAUCCUCCUUUAAGAUACCAGUGCUUCCCAUUGUGCUGGCUUUUAUUGGAUUUCGGGUGCCAUUCAGUCAACCCCCCCCCCUCAGCCACUCGAAUUCUUGAAAUGCUGGGAUCAUAUUUCACCUGAUCUGGCACUGAACCAUGUUCGCUAUCUCACCCCAAAAUUAAUUAAACCAUAAAUUUUCAGAAUAAACAUGAAGC